AGAAAAGAGGGGCACGUGAAAGCUAAGGCAGCUCCCAACAUUCCCAUCGGACGUAGGCUAUAGCGGUUGUACACUCAUAGAACAGCACGGACCAGGUUCACUGAACCUCCCUCUCCCUCUCCCUCUUCCAUCCCCUUUCUUUACUUGUAUAUAUUUCCCAUCACAACAAUAUCACUCCUCAUCUAUUGCCUUCUUCCUUCUUUCAACAACCAUAAACAAUGGGGUAGAGUAAGUAAGCAUGAGCCGUUGCUUUCUUCUCCAAAAAGAAGAUAGUCAAGAAUGAUAAUGUCAAUAUUUCUCAUGAGACAAACAGCUUUCUUUACACUUUUGUUAUGGUGAACAAAAGUGGCAUCUAUUGUAGCCAUUUGCCCGCUUUCUCAUCUAUAUUGCUCUUGAGUUCAGCUAUCGUGGUCUCGUCAUGGCAGCCAUGACCCAGAAGAGUGAGGCCAAUGAAGCAAUUCGCGCGGUCUUCUGCAGGAAUGAGAUUGAAGAUUAGAGCAUAGAGAACAGUUUGUUGUUCUUGGAAGAGUUCCCCCUAUUGAAACUUCACAUACUUAACAUUUUGAUGUCCUUCGGCUGAUAGAUGGUUUUGUUUUCAAUAAAGCCUCUGUUGUUGUCUCUUUUUGUGCGUUGCUCCUAGGCUCAGCAAAAGGUUCAAAACAAAGGUGAAUUGCUCAUGGAAACCAGUUGUUUCGUUUAAGUAAAAGCAUUGUUGUUUCUUUCAAUUAUGCUAUUAUUUUUCUUCUUUGGGACCA